UCUUGCCCUCUAAACCAUUUCCAAUCAUACUACUUCUAUUCUGAGACCAGAACCACUAAUUACACUUAACAAUGAAUUUAUACUGUGUUAUGGUGAUGCCCUGUGAUAAUUCCUAGCAUCUGUUUUGUUUAUUUUGACUGUUGCUGAGCAGUGAGGUGACAUUCACAGAGUAGUCCCCACUCUCCCACCUCCCCUGCUACCCCAGCUUGGUGACAACGGUCACUGUAAAUCUAAUCACUCUAAUUUAAGAAACUAUGAUUGUUUUACCUAGGAACAGAAAUGUCUGCCAGAAACCUCCAUAGGGAGAAGCUAGAAAACACAGGGAACAGUGGCCCACAAUGCAUAAAGUCUCUAGAGCAGACCUGGAACUAGGCAAAACAAGCUCUUUACGAUAACAUUUGAAUCCAGAAAGAUGGUGGCUAGUGGCCCGACACAGUCUGCUGAGCAGCUGCGCCAGUACAAUACAUGAAAAACUUAAUCCAGCACCUCUUUUACUGAAAAUGAAUAACAAAACCUUAAUAAAUCAACAAUUACUUAUUGCUGUAUUUGGGAUAAUAAAUUCUUUAGUUUAUCAGUAGCUUGUGGCUUCCAUAGCAUGUUCUUUGAACAGUUUGCCUUUCAGUUACAUCCCCUUUCUCUCCUGAACAAUAAAUUAGCAUUCUUUUUUCUUUUAAAGGAAUAGAGGGGAAAAAGAGGAUAUAUUACAAUAUUUUUUCAAAGCAAAAAGAAAAAUGCAACAUAUUUUUGACAUAUAUCUUAAAAUAAUAUGAGGAUAACUUUCUCCGCGUGUUAGAUGACUAUGCAUAAAUAAUAAAGGACGUUAUGUUAUUUACAGUGUUACACAAUAAACUAAGAGAGUCUUAUUUAACACAUAAUCCAUAAAGACAGUAAAUGAUGAAAACAUCCAAGUAUGUACAAGAUGUAUUUACAAUAGAAUAGAGAAUUACAAAUGAUGAUAAUUGGCCAUGUUCUUUGUCUGCCCUUCUCUGCAGCAUUUCAUAGGUGCUUUUUUUGUUUCUUACUAGAAGUAAGUCCCAGCUGAUGGUAUGUAGCCACACUGCAGAGCCAGGAAGUGUCCAACAGGUUGAGAUGUGUCCUUUGAAGGAACACAAGUUCGCUGUCCUGGAUGUUCAGAAUCCCCGGAGUCUAGGAAAAACAUUUGUUUUCCACAUCAAUCCUGAGUCUAUGCUGUGCCAACUGAACACAACAAAAAUCAAAAGAAGAGAAGAGGCAGAGCGACCCUGACUAAAUGGAUAGGAAUUCAGUGCAAAAGAGGCCAUUUGAUUCUGUCUGAACGGAUGCAACAGCUCCAGCACUGACAGCACCCUUGUUCAUUACUAGUCAAAGACUUCAAGGCCAUCACAGGCUACAUAGACAUUCAUAUCUAAUAGCCAUGCAUAGCACGGCUGUAACCAACAUGAUGUACUUGACUUCACAAAUGGACUUUGCAUCAGCCUUGUUUCCUCCACUCUGAACAAUGGAGUCAAUAAAAGCAGCUAGAAAUGAA